AUGGCCUCCUCUGGAUCCUCCUCGACACUCGCCGUCAUCCCGGCGACCUCGGGGGAGACGCUGUCCGCGGAGCCACCCGCGGCCUCGCUCACGGCACCACCCGCGGCCGUGAUCCCGAUCGUCCCCGCGCCGCCACCCGCGGCAUCGGUCGCGCUCGCGGAUCUUGUCGCGGCUCCGCCGCCAAUCGUCCCUGCUGCUGGCGCAAUCACGCCCACCGGGCCGUUCCACUUCGACAACUUGAUCGCCAUCCGACUCACGCCGGACAACUACUUGUUCUGGCGCGCCAAGGUCCUACCGCUGCUACGCAGCCGGUCUCUCCUCGGGUUUGUUGAUGGUUCUCUACCGUGUCCUCCGCAGGUCAUCCCUACCGUCCAUGGCCCGGCCAUCAACCCGGAACACCGUAUGUGGGUGCAGCAGGACCAGGCGAUCCUCUCUGCCAUCCAGGGUUCCCUCAGCGACGGGGUCGCUGGCCUUUGUCUCUUCGCCGCCACCUCCAUGGACGCCUGGACGACCCUGGAGCACGCCUUUGCCCAGGUCUCUACCUCCCGCUCGAUGGCCCUUCGCAGCGAACUCGCUGACAUCAAGAAGCUGGACUCCUCCGCUACGACCUACUUCAACAAGAUGAAGGUGCUGGCGGACACGCUCACCUCUAUUGGUCGGCCGCUUAGCGACGAGGAGUUCGCCGGCUUCGUCAUCAAAGGCCUCGACGCUGACUACGACAAUCUCGCCGAGGCCGUCCACAAUGCCAAGCCAGCGAUGCCUCCUCACGAUAUCUACUCACGUCUCCUCUUCACCGAGCAACGCAUCGAGGCUCGUCGCUCCUCCGCCACCAUCACCGCCCAGCCAGCGGCCUUCUGGGCCUCUCGUGGCUAG
rnacentral:rRNA from 1 species